rnacentral:rRNA from 1 species
UACGAAGGGGGCUAGCGUUGCUCGGAAUCACUGGGCGUAAAGCGCACGUAGGCGGCUUUCUAAGUCAGGGGUGAAAUCCUGGAGCUCAACUCCAGAACUGCCUUUGAUACUGGAGAGCUAGAGUCCGGAAGAGGUGAGUGGAACUGCGAGUGUAGAGGUGAAAUUCGUAGAUAUUCGCAAGAACACCAGUGGCGAAGGCGGCUCACUGGUCCGGUACUGACGCUGAGGCGCGAAAGCGUGGGGAGCAAACAGG